rnacentral:rRNA from 1 species
AUUGAACGCUGGCGGCAUGCCUUACACAUGCAAGUCGAACGGCAGCACGGGUGCUUGCACCUGGUGGCGAGUGGCGAACGGGUGAGUAAUACAUCGGAACGUACCUUAUCGUGGGGGAUAACGCUGUGAAAGCUGUGCUAAUACCGCAUACGCCCUGAGGGGGAAAGCGGGGGAUCGAAAGACCUCGCGCGACUAGAGCGGCCGAUGCCUGAUUAGCUUGUUGGUGGGGUAAAAGCCCACCAAGGCGACGAUCAGUAGCUGGUCUGAGAGGACGAUCAGCCACACUGGGACUGAGACACGGCCCAGACUCCUACGGGAGGCAGCAGUGGGGAAUUUUGGACAAUGGGGGCAACCCUGAUCCAGCAAUGCCGCGUGAGUGAAGAAGGCCUUCGGGUUGUAAAGCUCUUUUGUCAGGGAAGAAACACCGGCUCUAACACAGUCCGGGAAUGACGGUACCUGAAGAAUAAGCACCGGCUAACUACGUGCCAGCAGCCGCAGUAA